rnacentral:tRNA from 1 species
GGUGUUGUGGCCGAGUGGUUAAGGCGUGAGAUUUAGGCUCUCAUGUGUUCGCACGCGCAGGUUCGAACCCUGUCAACGCCA